GACAGGUUUUGCAUUAUUCUUUGAAUGGCUGGAAUGCUACAGUGAGGACUUUGUUUCAGUGCCAUAAAAUAGUUAAGUUUAAAGAAACUCUCCAAGCACCAUAAUCACUACAGCUGAAUGUAAUGAUUAUGAUGCCGGGAGUGCCCCAGUGCCCUCCCAGAGUAGGUAAUCAGACCAUUUAAAAACCACCUCACCUGUUGCUGGAUGAUCUGUCACUGAGUGAAGCAUG